AAGUCGUAACAAGGUCUCCGUUGGUGAACCAGCGGAGGGAUCAUUAAAGAGUUGCUCAUGCUUCUCCGGCUCAUUUUUCAAACUCUUAUCUUCAAGUGGCCUCUCUGAGUUGUACUUUUAAAAUAAGUCAAAACUUUCAACAACGGAUCUCUUGGCUCUG
rnacentral:misc_RNA from 1 species